rnacentral:rRNA from 1 species
UACGUAGGGUGCGAGCGUUGUCCGGAAUUAUUGGGCGUAAAGAGCUCGUAGGCGGUCUGUCGCGUCGGUCGUGAAAACUUGGGGCUUAACCCUGAGCUUGCGGUCGAUACGGGCAUGACUGGAGUUCGGCAGGGGAGACUGGAAUUCCUGGUGUAGCGGUGAAAUGCGCAGAUAUCAGGAGGAACACCUGCGGCGAAGGCGGGUUGCUGGGCUGACACUGACGCUGAUGCGCGAAAGCCAGGGGAGCGAACGGG